UAGUCACGCUGUAAACGAUGUCGAUUUGGAGUUUGGGGGCAUGACCCUUGGGCUCCGGAGCUAACGCGUUAAAUCGACCGCUGGGGAGUACGGCCGCAAGGUUAAAACUCAAAUGAAUUGACGGGGGCCCGCACAAGCGGUGGAGCAUGUGGUUUAAUUCGAUGCAACGCGAAGAACCUUACCUGGUCUUGACAUCCAUAGAAUCUUUCAGAGAUGAGAGAGUGCCUUCGGGAGCUAUGAGACAGGUGCUGCAUGGCUGUCGUCAGCUCGUGUUGUGAAAUGUUGGGUUAAGUCCCGCAACGAGCGCAACCCCUAUCCUUUGUUGCCAGCACGUAAUGGUGGGGACUCAAAGGAGACUGCCGUUGAUAAAGCGGAGGAAGGUGGGGACGACGUCAAGUCAUCAUGGCCCUUACGACCAGGGCUACACACGUGCUACAAUGGCGUAUACAAAGGGAUGCGAAGGUGCGAACUGGAGCGGACCUCACAAAGUACGUCUAAGUCCGGAUUGGAGUCUGCAACUCGACUCCAUGAAGUCGGAAUCGCUAGUAAUCGUGAAUCAGAAUGUCACGGUGAAUACGUUCCCGGGCCUUGUACAUACCGCCCGUCACACCAUGGGAGUGGGUUGCACCAGAAGUAGAUAGCUUAACCUUCGGGAGGGCGUUUACCACGGUGUGGUUCAUGACUGGGGUGAAGUCGUAACAAGGUAACCA
rnacentral:rRNA from 1 species